CAUGGAUACAAUGACAGCUUUCACAGCUUUUCUGUCAUCCUUUCAGUUGGUUUGGGUCAUCUCUCCAUACUGCUUGUUUUUGUUCUCUGAGGCCCAUGGAUUUCCAAAACCUCAGCUGUCGGUAUCGUCUUCAGUCAUUUUGCCAACAGACACAGUCCAUCUGUGCUGUUCAGUCCCUUGGCCUGCAGUAUCUCAGUGCUAUUUCUCUGUUGGAAAACACCAUGUACAGCCUGCACAAUCAUGUCAGCUGUCUCCCACAGGGGAACAGAUGAAAGCUUGGGGAGAUAUAAACCCUCCUUCAGAGCUUCAUGUAAAAUGUUACUACACUGUGAAAACCAGUCUUGGUGUUGAAAGUCCCUCUGAUCACUCUUCUUCUGUUUUAGUG